ensembl:snRNA U6 U6 spliceosomal RNA
UUGUUCACUAUGGCAGCACAUAUACUAAAAUUAGAAAGCUACAGAGAUUAGCAUGGCCUCUGUGCAAGGAUGACAUACAAAUGUGUGAAGCAUCUUUAUUUAUU